ensembl:lncRNA
GUUGAGUUACAGUUCUCAGUAAAUAUCAACGUGUGUAAUACGACCGUCUCGUUAUUAAUACACCACAUAAUUGGCGACGAGGUAAAGUGGAAGACGUGAAGUGAAGAUGGCAAACUAUGCAAGACCGGACGAGUUCAAGCCUGAAGUUGAACAGUGGUCAGCAUACGUCGAGCGAAUGGAGCUCUUCAUCGAUGCACAUGAUGUUCACGCGGAUAAAAAGGUAGCGACCUUGUUAAGUGCUAUGGGUGCUUCAACAUACGGUGUUUUACGUAAUUUAGUCCAACCACAGAAGCCAAAAGACAAAACUUUUGAUGAUAUCGUGAAAAUUCUGAUGGAACAUUAUGAACCCAAGCCCUUGGUCGUUGCCGAACGUUUUAGGUUUCGAAAAUGUGCUCAGAAGAAAAAUGAAAGUGUUAGCAAAUUUGCUGCAGAGUUAAAGCAGUUGGCUGCACGGUGUGAUUUCGGAGACAAGCUUAAUGAAGCUCUGCGCGAUGGCUUUGUCACAGUGGGAUUUAUGACGAGGCUUGCCAACGCAAACUGCUUGCUAUGGAUGGACUGACUUUUGCGAGGGCCCUUGAGGUCGCGCUCAACAUGGAGACAGCCCACCGAGAUGUGCGACAGUUGAGACACACCGAUGAUGCAGCCGUUUCUGUUCACAAGUUUGACACCAUGGCCAUGAUUGUCAGCUUAUUGCACAUUGUCCUGGUGACAGCAGUUGUCCUCCAGGUGGCAGUCUCGCACCCACAUCUGAACCGAAUGGAAGAAGAGGUGGAUAUUGAUAGAAGAAUCAGCCAGCCAGAUAACAGUCUGCUGAUGGAGGACGCAAUAAACACCCUCUCUGAGAGGAGGCAAGGGCUUCCCCAGAGCUCACCUUUCCACGGCAGCCAGCAGAGUGACAUCGAGUUCUCCAACCGCUACGUCAGGCAGCUGGGCGACAUCGAGUUCUCCAACCGCUACGCAGAGUACCUGAGGUCAAAGGCCAAGAUCACCUCCAUCUGCGGCUUCCUGCGCCGCAUGCAGAACUCCAAGAAAAGUGGUUUGGGUGGAGACACAGAGAGAGUGAACGCCCUGCUGAAGCAGUACAUGUGCCCUGCUGUGUACCAGUGACCAGUGGCCAGAAACCAGAGGCCUGCUGGGAUACUGGAGGAACAGCUAGAGGGAGGAGCUCAGCUCAGGACGCCUCAGAUCACACUGCCAUCCCACACCAAGACAGAUACCCUUAAAGGGCAGCCAGGCCCUCAGCAGGAAGUUGUGUCGUGCCUUCACUCAACAUGUUUCAUAUCUGUCCCAUUUUCCUGUUCGACUGUCUAUACCCUGUGUUAAAAGCCCCUGUUUUUUACUUGAAUAAAGUUGAUCUCAU